GGAGAGUAGAGCUCGAUGGUAGAGUGUGUGCUUGGCAUGCACGAGGUCCUGGGUUCAAUCCCCUCUACCUCCA
rnacentral:tRNA from 1 species